GAAAGUAAGAAAGGGCGUAUGGCGGAUGCCUAGGCUCACGGAGGCGAUGAAGGACGUGAUAAGCUGCGACAAGCCCUGGGUAGGUGCAAAUGACCGUUGAUCCAGGGAUUUCCGAAUGGGACAACCCGGCAGUCUGAAGGACUGUCAUCCGGAUGAAUAUCCGGAGGCGAACGGAGGGAACUGAAACAUCUUAGUACCUCCAGGAAGAGAAAAUAAACAAUGAUUCCCCCAGUAGUGGCGAGCGACCGGGGAAGAGCCCAAACCGGUGUUGUCAAGGCAACGCCGGGGUUGUAGGACCGCGCUGUGGUACUUCAAUCGUGAACAGAAUGGACUGGAAAGUCCUGCCGUAGAGGGUGAAAGCCCCGUACGUGAAGCGAGCGAAGGCCUAGCGGUAUCCUGAGUAAGGCGGGACACGAGGAAUCCUGCCCGAAUCCGCCGGGACCAUCCGGCAAGGCUAAAUACUCCCGUGAGACCGAUAGUGGACCAGUACCGUGAGGGAAAGGUGAAAAGCACUUCGACGAGAAGAGUGAAAGAGAUCCUGAAACCAUGCGCCUACAAGCGGUCGGAGCAUCCAUGAGAUGUGACGGCGUGCCUUUUGCAUAAUGAACCUACGAGUUGCCGUCGCCAGCGAGGUUAAGUCCCAUGAGGGACGAAGCCGUAGUGGAAGCGAGCCUGAAGAGGGCGUCAAGUUGGCGGAGGCAGACGCGAAACCAAGUGAUCUACACUUGUCCAGGUUGAAGUCCCGGUAACACGGGAUGGAGGACCGCACCAAUAAGCGUUGAAAAGCUUCUGGAUGAGGUGAGUGUAGGAGUGAAAGGCCAAUCAAACUUGGAGAUAGCUCGUACUCCCCGAAAGGCAUUUAGGUGCCGCGUGGGAAGUUCAGCGUGAGAGGUAGAGCGACCGAUAGGUCAAGAGGGCUUCACCGCCUAUCGAGACCUGACGAACUCCGAAUGCUCACGCUUUGUAUUCCUGCAGUAAGGGGGCGGGUGCUAAGGUCCGUCCCCGAGAGGAGAAGAAUCCGGACCGCCGUCUAAGGUCCCGAAGUUCUGUCUGAGUUAGUCUAACGAAGUGUGGUCCCUGAGACAGCCAGGAUGUUGGCUUGGAAGCAGCCAUUCAUUCAAAGAGUGCGUAACAGCUCACUGGUCGAGGGUCCGUGCAUGGAUAAUAAUCGGGUAUAAGACAGACACCGAAGGCGCGGGAUAGCAAAUUAUAAAAGUAUCGGUAGGGGAGCAUUCCAUCGGCGUAGAAUGCAGGAGGUGACUUCUGCUGGAGCUUAUGGAAAAGCAAAUGUAGGUAUAAGUAACGAUUAGGAGGGCGAGAACCCCUCCCGCCGAACGACUAAGGUUUCCCAGGCAAUGCCAUUCAUCCUGGGGUCAGUCGGGUCCUAAGGCUAAGCCGAGCGGCGAGGCCGAUGGCAGACACGGUCAACAUUCCGUGACUACCGCCAUCAGUGAUGUCCAGACGGAGCAGUGACACCUCCGCGCCCUGACGGAAUAGGGCGUUGAAGGGCGUAGGCUAUGAUGAUGCCAGGCAAAUCCGGCAUCAGAGCUGAAAUCCGAAAGUACGGGGUCCCCUUCGGGGGAACCUGACAGCGAGGGUAAGCAUACUCCCGAGAAAAUGGGCUAAACUCAUGUUGGCGGUACCCGUACCGCAAACCGACACAGGUAGUUGGGUAGAACAUACUAAGGCGUUGAGAGAUUCAUGGCUAAGGAACUAGGCAAACUGACCCCGUAACUUCGGGAUAAGGGGUCCUCACCUCCGGGUGAGGCGCAGAGAAUAGGUCCAGGCAACUGUUUAACAAAAACACAGGGCUGUGCGAACUCGAAAGAUGAAGUAUACAGCCUGACACCUGCCCGGUGCCGGAAGGUUAAGAGGAGAUGUCACCGCAAGGGAAGCAUUGAAUUGAAGCCCCGGUAAACGGCGGCCGUAACUAUAACGGUCCUAAGGUAGCGAAAUUCCUUGUCGGGUAAGUUCCGACCUGCACGAAUGGUGUAAUGAUCCGGACGCUGUCUCAACCA
rnacentral:rRNA from 1 species